rnacentral:misc_RNA from 1 species
UUGCAACGAUUCCCGAAAAGUGUCGACUGAUUUUUAUAAAACGACGCAAAGGGAAUUUGUAGUAAAUAAUAAAAUUUAAAAUUAAUUAAUAUACAGAAAAGAAUAUUUAGUAACAACGAAAGGUGUUAAACUUCGUAAAAAAUCUGUAAAUCUGUUUAAACGAGUAAUUUUCGAUUGUAAAAAAUUACGUGAAAAUAGGAGAGAUAGUGAAGGAAAAACCAAAGCGGAGCAGCAAGAGUCUAGCAAGGAAGAUCCUAUUUCACCACAGUGGCUGAGUCGCCAUUUUGUCUGCUGGCCGGCUGAUUUUGCUUGCGGGAUAUGGAAAAUUCGCUAAUCUUCAAAAAAUAUUAACUUGAUUAGACGGUGACGUUGUAGUUGAAAAGAAAGAGCCGAAGUUAAAGUAAUCAAAAGGAUAAGUGAUCAUUGCUAAUUGUGCAUAGUUGUGGUAUAUAAUUGUAAAGUGGUCAAAUAAUUGCAAAAUCAAGACAAAGCGGAAUUCGACUGCAAUCCAAUGGUAAUAGGGCGGAUGCAAAAAAUGUAAAUGGAUUUAUGCUUCUCCCUAUUGAAUAUGUAAAUGACCGAUAGCAAAAUCAUCAAAUUGCUUGUGCUUAAUUAAGGGUCAAGGAGGUAAAAGAGCAGCAAGCAAUAUAUAAAAUAAUUCUCAUCGAUAAUUAAAAAUAAAGCAAUAAUAUAAACAAUAAAGUAAUAAUUAUUGCUACAGCUACUAAUAGAUUAUACCCAUAAAGUAACAACGGCUAUAACAACGAAGCACAAAAUCAAAAGGUUGCAGCUGUGGAAGCGGCGGUGGCUGUAAAAGAUUAGAAGUUGCAUUUAAUUGUUAAAGUGCAGCAGUAUUAGUGCCUCUGUUAACUACCACGAAGAGAUGACGUUUGAUACGCGCGGACGCCAGACAGGCGGGGGAGGUGGUGGUACCGGUAACGAUAAUUCAAAUGUGGGCACGGCAAAUACAAAUAGCAAUCUAAAUAGUAAUAGUGGCACAACCCUUGGGAAUACUACUGGCGGUGGUAGUGGGGGAGGUGUUAACAAUGGCAGUGUAGAACAACCUACACCUUCUACAGUUAAUCCGGAUGCAACUUCGCAAGGUGGAGAGACAACGGCCAACAACGCUGUUGUGGACAACAUAACACCCGAAAAACUGAUUUCAUCAUUUCCUACGUUAAAAUUGCGUUCAUUGACACAAAAGAUCUCAAAUCCGCGUUGGGUUGUACCAGUGCUGCCUGAACAAGAGUUGGAAGUAUUGCUUAACGCAGCAAUUGCGCUAACCGCAGCAGGUGUGGAUCAUGACUGCGAACCAUGUGUGGAAUUCUAUCGCAAUGCGCUUACUACUUCCUUUUCAAAAAUCCUUACCGACGAGGCGGUUAAUUCAUGGAAAUACAAUAUCCAUCAUUGCAUUUUAUUGUCGUGCGGCAAGUUACUCCAUUUAAUUGCCAUACAUAUGCCGCGUGAUAAUCCCUAUUUAUUGGAUUUGCUUGCUAUGGUCUUUGAUCCGGAGAACAAGUUUAAUACAUUCAAUGCCGCACGUCAACCCAGUUGCUUUGCUGCACCGGAUUUUCUAUGGGGCGUAUUAGACGCUAAUAAAAUGUUUGCUAAACCACCACCAGAGCCUAAAAAUCCCCGUGGCUGGCUUGUUGAUUUAAUCAAUCGUUUCGGUCAGCUUGGCGGUUUCGAUAAUCUGCUGGAGCGAUUCAAUUGUGGUUUGCAGUUGUUAAAGAAGAAUCAAGAGCAAAGUGGACUCGAGUCGUCGGGAUCUGGCUUAGAUUUAAGCAGUAAGACUAGCAAAUCGUCACAGGCGUCCGACGAAAGUCAAGAUAAUAAAUUAACACUGGCGUUGAUAUUUAGUCUACUACGUCCUUUCGGGCAGUGCAGUGAGCUAUUAACACCUGCUACUAUUGCCAAAUACUUCAUGCCAAUUUGGAAUGUGGUAUUGGAUCUAUUAGAUAGUUUCUCCGAUGAUGAAUUAAAGCGUGAAGCGAAACCAGAGGGACGAAACGAUUACAUUAACGGUAUUGUGAAGUCGGCACGUUUGUUGGCGAGUCGUUUGCCAGGACAAGAGGAUUUAAUACGAGAUCUGGAAAUGUUUCGUCUGAAAAUGAUACUACGUCUACUACAAGUCUCUAGUUUCAAUGGCAAAAUGAAUGCACUAAAUGAAAUCAAUAAGGUGCUCAGCUCUGUUUCAUAUUAUUCACAUCGCACGCAGCAAUUACAACACUGCUUGCCAGAUGAUGAAAUGGACUGGUUAACGGCGGAGCGCAUGGCUAACUGGAUUAAAGACUCUGAUGUGCUGGGUAUUGUUCUGAAAGAUUCGCUACAUCAACCCCAAUAUGUUGAGAAGCUGGAGAAAAUCAUACGCUUUCUGAUCAAAGAGCACGCAUUGACGCUAGAGGAUUUAGAUGCCGUUUGGCGUGCACAAGCGGGUAAACAUGAGGCGAUUGUAAAGAAUGUGCAUGAUCUCUUGGCGAAAUUGGCUUGGGAUUUUACACCCGAACAGCUGGAUCAUCUCUUCGAAUCGUUUCAGACAAGCAUGACAAACGCCAAUAAGCGUCAACGUGAACGACUGCUUGAAUUGAUAAGACGCUUGGCUGAAGAUGAUAAAAAUGGUGUAAUGGCACAAAAAGUAUUGAAACUUUUUUGGACGUUGGCGCAUAGUCAGGAAAUACAACCAGAUGUAUUGGAUCAAGCUUUGGCGGCACACGUAAAAAUCUUGGACUACAGCUGUUCGCAGGAGCGUGACGCGCAGAAAAUUGUCUGGUUAGAUAAAUGUGUACAAGAAUUGAAGAGUGGUGAUAAUUGGGUGUUGCCCGCUUUACGUUUAAUACGUGAAAUCUGUUGCCUAUACGAUUCUUUGCCCAGCCAUGCACCGCGUACACAGCAAACACUUAAUCGUCAACAAGUCAUCGAGCGUUUGCAAAACGACUAUACUUUGGUGAUUCUGGUGACAAAUAGUUUAACUACGUAUAUGGACAAAAUACGCACUAUGAUCGCUGAGAUGCCGAAUGUGGAGCCGAACACAUUAUGCAUCGACGGAAGAUAUCCACAUAAUAUGCAAAUACAAGAGCGCUUGGAUUUUCUGAAGUUCUUGCUGAAGGAUGGGCAACUGUGGUUGUGUGCCGAACAGGCUAAGCAAAUUUGGCACUGCCUGGCGGUAAACGCAGUAUUUCCAAGUGAUCGUGAAGAGUGCUUUCGAUGGUUUGGCAAAUUAAUGGGCGAAGAACCCGACCUGGAUCCAGGCAUAAAUAAAGACUUCUUCGAAAACAAUAUUUUACAACUCGAUCCGCAAUUGUUGACUGAGAGUGGCAUCAAAUGCUUCGAACGCUUCUUCAAGGCUGUCAACUCCAAGGAGGAUAAAUUGAAAGCAAUACAUCGCGGUUAUAUACUUGACAAUGAGGAUCUCAUUGGUAAAGACUAUCUGUGGCGAGUCAUUACCACGGGUGGUGAAGAAAUCGCCAAUAAGGCUAUUGAUCUGCUAAAAGAGGUUUCGACAGCGCUAGGACCGCGCCUGCAAGAGAGUAUUUGUGAUUUUCAUGAAAUGUUCAUUGCCGAAUGCUGCGAACGACUACGUACACAUUAUAGUAAUAUAAUUAUUUUGGGCAAAACAAUUGGCAGCAACAGUUCAAAUGAUCCUAGUCAAGCGGAUGCCGAUUCGAAGGAUAUCAAGGAUCGUUUUAUUGAAGCUGAGAAAAUGUGCCGUAUUAUAAAAGUAUUGCAAGAGUAUAUAAAAGAAUGUGAUCGUUCAUUUAAUGGCGAUCGCUAUCUAUUGCCCCUUAGUCGGGUGACACGCGGCAAAAAUACUAGUCUCUAUAUACGCUUUCAAAAUCCCGGCCGACCCAUUGACGAUAUUGAGGUGACAACACACAGUAAUGAAACAGUGGCAUCAUUCAAGCGCAAUUUAUUGAAACGCAUCAAAGGCAAUUCACCAGCCAACAUAAAAGUCGAUUUGUUCUACAAUAACGGUGAACUAAUUGAGAUUAGCGAUGAGAUCAAUCCACUGUAUCAGUAUGCCAUACGUGAUAAAAUGAUACUCACAGCCAAGUUGACACCAGUCGGUCCAGGGCUGGCCAGUAGCCCCGAUUCAUCCAGCGACUCUAGCACCGGCUCACCGCCACGUCCCUGUCCCGAUAUGCAACGUGUCGAGUCGGAGAGCACGCUGCCCGGAGUGAUCAUCGCACAGAACUACAAAUAUACCGAGUUUUUCCUGAAGCUGUAUCAACUGGGCAGCGACUUGGAUCAUGGUCGAUUGCGAGAGAGCGCAAAAUCAUUGUUGCAUUUGUUGCCAUGUGAUUGGCACACCGUAAAGAUGUUGCAAACCAUGUGUCGCGUGCAGGGACAACUGCAGGUCGGCACCAAUGACGUUGUUAGAGCCGCGGUGACAGCGGAAGCCGUCAGUGGCAGCAGCGCUAUACCAAGUGGCGUAAAAGAGGAAGAGGCUGAAACGGUGGGCGUAGGCAACGGCAGUGUUGUAGUGCAAAAUACGACCGCCUUUGAUGGUGACCAGAUCAAUCUUCAGGAAUGCACGCCUGAGAUGCUAUUUCUGCAUGGCACACCCGCACAGGUGCUCUACAAUUUGGGUGUUUUGAAUGGUUUGCUGAUACCAGCUUUGGAUCCCUACGGUGAGGCGGCAAUGCAAGUGCAAUCGGCUUGGUUACAUUCGGGCUGCGCACAUUUCAUACUCGAGCUGUUGACCAAAAACAAUUUCCUACCCAACGCCGAUAUGCAUACCAAACGUGCGGCAUUUCAUUGUGUGCUACACCUUGCAAGAUUGUUCCUCUACACGGUCGGCUAUGUGCUGUCACGUGUCGGCGACGAGCCGAUGCUACGCGAUUUCGAUGUAGGCGCACGUUCACAAGUUGAAAUACUUAAGCAAAUUCUGAAUUCGAUACCGAACAAUUCGGAGAGCACUAUGCGUGCCAUCUCCACAAAAUUGGCUGAAAAUUUAGCCGCGGAAAUGCUUUCGGCCAGCGCCGAGGGUGAACGUUGUCGCAUACUAUUCAGCUCGACACUGCAGUGGUCAUGCCCAGACAUAGCGACCAUUAAGGCUGUUAUACAAUUGGCUUGGUCAUCAUCGUGUGGCAAUCUGCAAGCGCUUGGCAAUAAAAAUGACUUUGCCAAUGAUAUAACAAUGCCGGAUGCGCAGGACUUUGCCAUGUGUAAAGAGGCGCUCGAAGUGCUAACCAUUUCAUUGGUACUUAAUCCCAGUGCUAACGAGGCAUUAAACAACGAUCCGAUUUGGCCGAAAUUCAUCACAUCACUUAUAUUGAAGAAUCCAUCACGUCAUGUGCGUCAAAUCGCCGCCGAUCAGCUGUUUCUCUCAUGCACUUACUGUGCCGGUGAUCGUCGUCCAUUCGCUUAUAUGGUUAAUCUGCUGGUGAAUUCACUGAAAACGCUCGUGCCACAAUACGAGGCAACGUGCGCCGAUUUCUUUCAAUUGCUCUGCCGCACACUCUCCUAUGGCAGUGUGUGCAAUUGGCCGCUGAACAUUGGGGACGGCUUACUGACCGAGGAGAUCAAUUGGCUGCAGAAGAUACGCGAAAAUGUUAUACAUACCGGUGACAUACAGGUGCAUGAGGAUCUAUUGGAGGGUCAUCUAUGUUUGGCCAAAGAAUUGAUGUUCUUUUUGUCGCCGGAGACCAAAGCCCAACUUACCGAGUUGAUCGACGAGAUUAUUGAUAUUUUCCUCUUUCCGGCUUCACGUGAAUACCUGCACUUGCGGAAGUUCAACAAAUUGCGAAAUCCCACAUCACCCCCACCCGUUUGUCGUAGUCCCCACACCAUAGCGGCGGCUUGCGAUUUCUUGAUAGCACUUUGCCAGAAUUGUGUUCCUAACAUGAAAUUGCUGACCAACACACUAAUCGAUUUCGUGUGCACCGAUACGGAUCCGUUACGUGAAUGGGACUUUCUACCGCCGGUUGGUCCACGACCCGUCAAAGGAUUUUGUGGUUUGAAGAAUGCCGGCGCCACAUGCUACAUGAAUUCGGUGUUGCAACAAUUGUAUAUGGUGCCAUCCAUACGCGUCGGUAUAUUGAAGGCUGACGGUGCUGCUAUAAUUGAGAAUGAAGAUUUCAGCGGCGAAACUGAUGUGGCUAGCAUAAAUAGUGCGCUUUUCUCCAGUGCUGGUAACGGUGAAGACAAUAGCAGCGGCACUGAUGUGCGGAAAAACUAUCACGUGGUCAUAUUGAAAUAUGUGCAGGCGAUAUUUGGCCAUCUGGGUCACAGUUCGUUGCAAUACUAUGUGCCACGUGGCUUGUGGGCAUAUUUUAAACUACAAGGUGAACCGGUUAAUUUGCGCGAGCAACAAGAUGCAGUUGAAUUCUUUAUGUCGCUCUUCGAAAGUCUGGAUGAAGGCCUUAAGGCCUUGGGCCAUACGCAACUGAUGAAUGCCACUUUGGGUGGUUCGUUUAGCGAUCAGAAGAUAUGUCAGGAGUGCCCGCAUCGCUAUUCCAAGGAGGAGCCGUUCAGUGUGUUCAGCGUGGAUAUACGAAAUCAUAGCUCAUUAACAGAAUCGCUGGAGCAGUAUGUCAAAGGGGAACUGUUAGAGGGCGCUGAUGCAUACCAUUGUGAUAAAUGUGAUAAAAAAGUAGUUACAAUUAAGCGGUUGUGUGUAAAAAAACUACCGCCUGUGUUAGCCAUUCAAUUAAAGCGUUUCGAAUACGAUUACGAGCGCGUUUGCGCCAUUAAAUUUAAUGAUUACUUUGAGUUCCCACGCGUUCUUGAUAUGGAACCGUAUACAGUUUCUGGCUUAGCCAAAUUGGAGGGUGAAGUCAUUGAGGUGGGUGAUAAUUGCCAAUCGAAUGGCGAAACAACCAAAUAUGAAUUAAGUGGCAUUGUGGUACAUAGCGGACAGGCUUCCGGUGGCCAUUACUUUAGUUAUAUACUUUCUAAAAAUCCCUCCACUGGCAAGGAACAAUGGUAUAAAUUCGACGACGGCGAAGUGAGUGAAUGUAAAAUGCACGAAGAUGAAGAAUUGAAAGCGCAAUGUUUCGGUGGCGAUUACAUGGGCGAAAUUUACGAUAAUAAUUUGAAGCGCAUGCAAUACCGGCGGCAGAAGCGCUGGUGGAAUGCAUAUAUGCUUUUCUAUACGCGUUGCGAUCAAAAACCCAUACAAUUCGAACCCUGUGUGGAGCAGUUGUCAUUGGCCGAAAGUCGUAAUUUUGUUUUACCGCUGCCAAAACCAAUCGAACGCAGCGUGCGUCAUCAAAAUGUACGAUUUUUGCACUCGAAGAGUAUUUUCUCGGUGGAAUUUUUCAAUUUCAUUAAAAAAUUAGUUAGCUGUAGUAUACCGUCAACACGUCCGGACAAAAUGACACCAGCUGCUGAAGAGCUUUCAUUGCUAGGCGUUCAACUAGCAUCGCAAUUCUUAUUUCACACAGGAUUUAGAACGAAAAAAUCGUUGCGUGGACCGGUUAUUGAGUGGUACGACACUUUAUCACAUCACAUUCGGUUCUCUUCGCUCGUGCGCAAAUGGUUCGCCGCCAAUGCUCUACUCAAUCCAUCAUCCCGUUUGGGUGAAUAUAUAUUGAUGGCACCAUCGCCGGAAGUUCGCACUGUGUUUGUCAAAUUGGUGGUUUUCUUCUGUCACUUUGCCAUAGCCGACGAGCCGCUGGCUGGCUACGAAGGCAGCAAUUUGUGUGAACAGAUUUUAAUAAGCGUCUUGGAUUUGUUGAAGUGUGAAGCCGUCGAUUAUGGCAAACAUUUGCCGCACUAUUUUAGUCUAUUUAGCAUGUAUGUGGGCUUGGGCAUACCGGAAAAGCAACAACUGUUGAAGUUGAAUGUGCCGUUUAUAUUCAUGCAAGUCGCUUUGGACGAGGGUCCCGGUCCAUCGAUAAAGUAUCAAUAUCCCGAACUGAGCAAACUGCAUCAAGUGGUCUCGCAUUUAAUACGUUGCAGCGAUAUUUCUGACAAAUGCCAAAACUCGAAUCAAAAUGCACAACCACUUGAGAAUCCAUUUAAGGAUUCAAAUAUUAGGCGUGAAGAAUUGGUGCCAUUAUCUCCAGAAUGUGCUGACAUACUCUUCAAUCGAACGGGCUAUAUUAAGAAACUAAUCGAGGACACAGCUGUUGGCGAGGAGGGCAUCAAAUUGCUGCAGUAUUGCAGCUGGGAGAAUCCACAUUUCUCACGUGCUGUACUAACCGAACUGUUGUGGCAAUGUGGUUUCGCCUACUGUCACGAUAUGCGCCAUCACACCGAAUUGCUGUUGCAUAUAUUGUUAAUCGAAGAUUCGUGGCAACAUCAUCGCAUACAUAAUGCCCUAAACGGUGUAGCGGAGGAACGCGAAGGCCUGCUGGAGACGAUACAGCGCACAAAGACGCAUUAUCAAAAGCGCGCAUACCAAAUAAUUAAAUGCCUUACACAACUAUUCCACAAAUCACAAGUGGCCCUACAGAUGCUUAAUUCGAAUGCCAGUAUCGCACGGCAUUGGACCAUGGCGGUGGAGUGGUUGCAAGAUGAAUUGGAUCGGCAACGCAGCUGUCAAUACAAUUCGUAUUCAUGGUCACCACCGGCCCAGAGCAAUGAUAACACAAAUGGCUAUAUGUUGGAGCGUUCACAAUCCGCUAAGAAUACGUGCACCAUGGCAUAUGAGUUAUGUCCCGAAGAGGAACAAGAGGAGACCAAUGAGUCGGAUAUUGAGCCAGCCGAUGAGUCACAGCGACAGCAGCAGCUGCAACAACAGCAGCAGCAACAAAUUGCACAGACGCUGCAUGCACCCGCUGUGGAUGAUGAUACAGUACCCGCUAGUCCAGCACACAAACCGUUUAUGGUGGGACCGGUGAACAGCGGCAGCACCACCGGUUAUUGGACUGUUGCGAAUACAUUUGCGGUUGAUAGUCAUACAACAACAACUACAACCACUUCGACCAGCAGCAGUGGUGGGGUUUUGACCGCAGUUAAUAGUACGGAACCACAACAGCAACAACAGCAAGCUAACACAGAUGCAAACAUAAACGGUUUGACGUCCAGUGUGAAACAGCUGACGCUCUCCCCUAAAACGGUAAUUCCUCCCUAAAAGUCGACAGUAGCAUUUCUAAUGUACUCGUACACUCCUAAGCAUACCAGAGCAGCGGUCCACCAGCGGCGGCAUUGGUGAGACGACAACGACUACAGUGACGACGAUGAUGACUGGCCCAGACAUCGAAAACUCCAAGCAAGCAAU